CGCGUAGGAAUCUACCCAGUAGUGGGGGACAACAGUCGGAAACGGCUGCUAAUACCGCAUACGCCCCAAGGGGGAAAGCGGGGGAUCUUCGGACCUCGCGCUAUUGGAUGAGCCUGCGUAAGAUUAGCUUGUUGGUGAGGUAAAGGCUCACCAAGGCGACGAUCUUUAGCUGGUCUGAGAGGAUGAUCAGCCACACUGGGACUGAGACACGGCCCAGACUCCUACGGGAGGCAGCAGUGGGGAAUAUUGCGCAAUGGGGGAAACCCUGACGCAGCCAUGCCGCGUGUGUGAAGAAGGCCU
rnacentral:rRNA from 1 species